rnacentral:rRNA from 1 species
UACGAAGGGGGCUAGCGUUGCUCGGAAUCACUGGGCGUAAAGGGUGCGUAGGCGGGUUUUUAAGGCAGGGGUGAAAUCCUGGAGCUCAACUCCAGAACUGCCUUUGAUACUGAAGAUCUUGAGUUCGAGAGAGGUGGGUGGAAUUCCUAGUGUAGAGGUGAAAUUCGUAGAUAUUAGGAAGAACACCGGUGGCGAAGGCGGCCCACUGGCUCGAUACUGACGCUGAGGUGCGAAAGCGUGGGGAGCAAACAGG